rnacentral:miRNA from 1 species
ACUGUAGUAUGGGCACUUCCAG